ACGCUACUAGCGUAACGGCCCUCACGCCGCCGGCGUAGCACCACCUACUGACCGCCCCCCUCACGCUGCCUGCGUAAUCGCUUUGGAAUCAGCUUGAGGGCUACGCAGCCGACGUAGCCAAGGUGGUUGGUCUGGGCUAUGGUCGAAAAUAACCGAAAACCCACAUUCCGCCGUGCCCCACCGAGCUGGGCACCACAAGGGCUAGGAACUGCCGAUUGUAUUCUGAGGCUUGGUGCUCCGAAAAGUCUUUUCGGAUACAAGGUGAAAAGGGGGAGGGGGGGAAGCAGAGAAUUUUAAGGACAGCUAUUCACGAAACGCGUCGGUACGCCGAAGGCGGCUGCUGACUCCAAAACAAAGUAGUACCCAAACGGAGAAGCUGGAUCUCCGGGAAGAAAGGAGGGCAGACACGAAACAGGUAUUCGCAGAAACGCACAGAACGCCUAGGUUCCCAGGAGGAGUGGACCAAUGGGGACCGGAGAGGAGGUCCGAAAGCUCUGGUUCGCCGGGACCCACGGCUGUCCCUCCGACCCCACCCAGGGCACUCAUCCUGCGGCCGAGACCCUUCCCACCAAAGGUCGACUCGUUCCCUGCUCCUUCCUCCGGAGCCAGCACCGCUGCUCCCUGACCCUCGGGCCUCGGCCUCCGCUUUGGGGAGCCAGGGUGGAUGUGAACAAAGACUCCUCCCCUCAUUUCCCAACCCUGAGAGAAGGACCUAGGGCAGCUUUGGUUUCAAAGUUAUAAUGCAUGGUUUAAAAGAGAGGAAAGAAAAAGAGAGCGCGCCGGUUACAGGUCUGAGAGUAUAGGAAGAAGGGAAUGUAGAGGGAAAGGUUGGGGGCAGGGGGACAAGUUUGGGGAAAAUCCAGUGGCCCAAAAUCCCAGUUCCCCACCCACAGCCCAGCCCUUGGAGUGAAGAAUUAGAUCAGUUUUGUACAAGAGUUUUUAAAAAAUCAAAUCACAACAAAGCUGGCUUGGCUUUUCUUUGAGCCUCCCGGAUUACCGAAUGUCUGUGUGUCAUUCUGGCCAGUCCUGUCUCCACCAGACAGUUUGGACUCUCCUGGGCCUCCGCUUAUGUCCCAGUCUGGGGUUUCCAGAGAGUGCGAACACGAAGUUAGAGUGAGGCUGCUGCAGAGUCUGACCCAUGUGUCCAUCCAGACUCCGUGUGGAGUGCAGGGCUCCCAGGGCAGAGAGGGGCGGGAGGGGCAGACCCUGCCCAGACAGUCCUCACCAUGGGACAGGGCAUCAGACGGCAUCCCGAGUGCUCACCCUCCCUUUCCCCCCCACCCCAACUCAGGUGGAGGGGGAGCAGCUGUCACCAGAGCCGAUGUUGGUGAAGGUUUCGGCUCAGCACAGAACGAACAUCAGCGGUGAACCUGGGACGACAAUAACUUGCAUUGGUAGAGUCCUCAAAACACUAGCGUUAGGCAGCCUCAUUGGAGAUGUGGGGCAAAAUGAUCACCUUUCUCACAUGAAACUGAGGUCCAGUUUGCCCAAAACCCACUGGCUAAAAGUGAUGAGCUUUACUGUAAGAAGGCCUGGGUUCAAAUGCUAAGUUCUUAAGGGAAAAGAGAUAAAUAAGUCAAACAGGACAUAUAUUUAUUCCCUCUUGGGAUCCCCCACCUCCUUUCCUCAGAAACCUAAGUGUCUAGCUUCCCUUACCUGAGGGCAUCCAGCAUUGGAAGCAGAUUGAGAAGGGCGGUGUCGCUGGGGUCACUGAACCAGGAUUUGAUGGGGAUGGCAUUGUCUAGGACACAUGAAAAUAAAUGCACGUGAGAAAAAACAGUUCGAGA